UCGAAAAAUCAUUUUUUUGCCAAUUACUCACGGGACACCCGCAAUGGCAUGGAAGCCUUGAUGUGUCUCCAUCACUUCGUGCCUGGCCAAAGGCCUACGUAGGCU